UACGUAGGGGCGAGCGUUGUCCGGAAUCAUUGGGCGUAAAGCGCGUGUAGGCGGCCCGGUAAGUCCGCUGUGAAAGUCCAGGCUCAACCCUGGGAUGCCGGUGGAUACUGUCGGGCUCGAGUCCGGAAGAGGCGAGUGGAAUCCUGGUGGUAGCGGUGAAAUGCGCAGAUAUCAGGAGGAACACCAAUGGCGAAGGCAGCUCGCUGGGACGUGACUGACGCUGAGACGCGAAAGCGUGGGGAGCAAACAGG
rnacentral:rRNA from 1 species